rnacentral:rRNA from 1 species
UACGAAGGGGGCUAGCGUUGUUCGGAAUUACUGGGCGUAAAGGGCGCGCAGGCGGCUCUUCAAGUCAGAUGUGAAAGCCCCGGGCUCAACCUGGGAACUGCAUUUGAGACUGGAGAGCUUGAGUUCGGGAGAGGAGAGCGGAAUUCCCAGUGUAGAGGUGAAAUUCGUAGAUAUUGGGAAGAACACCGGUGGCGAAGGCGGCUCUCUGGACCGAUACUGACGCUGAGGCGCGAAAGCUAGGGGAGCAAACGGG